ensembl:lncRNA
CUCCACUCCGAGCAUCGUUUCUGAGCGGGAGCAGCUGUGCAGGCAGACACCAGCGCCACGCUUGGGCUGUGCCAGCACGACCCGCCAGCGUCUGCCUGCACGCUGCCCUGCCCACCCUGCGCUGGUGGCACACGGUGACAGAGGUGUCCAGCCGGAGCCACGACCCGUAGCCAUGACAAACUGCUGCAGCAGGACGGAUGCAACAGCUGACGCUCCCAGCUCCAGCCAGCAGCAAGUCCCUACAGGAGAGCAUCCACACACAGUGUCCAGGGGGAGAACAUCGAGGGAAAUAAGGCAGUGAGCAGAGCAGGAGAGCCUAGCUCCUUUCAGGCAGCCGGCAGCGGAUGAGCUCGGGCGACAGCACCCAAUUAUUGCAGCUCAGCGGGGGAAAAGGGAAAGAAAGGAAGGAAAGAAAGAGCAAUUAUCGGGACCUCGUCUGUGGCGCGGCACAGGGCUGCAAUUUCAAACCAGGCUGAGUUUGCCCGGCCCUUCUCUCACUCCCAGCACUGAGCACAUGACAGCUCACAUUUAUUUUUCAAUGGGCAGCCACCCAUCUCUGCCCUUCAGCUCCAGGCCUGGCUCCUUGUGCCCAUCCAGCGCCGCAUCCACAUCCAGCACCACGCAGAGCAGUUUCCUGCAGGAAAACCACAGACUUCCAAGGGCUGCAGGUGUCGGUUCCGUGUUGUCCCCCACUCGAGCACAGAUCACAUCCCACAGCACCCCCUGCCCCUGCUCAGCCCUCAUUGACUACUGAAGCCCCGCUGCUGCUGGGGGGCUGCGCUGCUUUCCCCCUCCCCACCUCACCCUCUCCUACCUUUCCCUCCCGAGUUGCUCCCGGCCCCGAAAUCACAGCCUCGAAUAUUAAAAAAGGUCAGGCUUCAGCUCUGGUGAAGUAGCAGAAAUCAGGGCAGCGUGAAGAGCAGCAGCACAGCGGGACCGCGAGCGGGGUGAGAGGAUAUGGGGGUCCCGGUGCCGUGCCCCCGGCACCUCUCACCCCAACAACGUUUGUGCCAUUCCCCACCACCUCUGGCUCAGUCACUGACAAUUAAAUUUAAUGAUGCCUUUAAGAAAUAAUAGCGUAUGCUGUUUGAAUGGGGCUGCCUGGAGCGGGGCGGGUUGCUGCUUAUUGGGAUGGGCGACGGGGGUGUGUGUGGAUGGGUGGUGACCCCGUAGCGUUUCCCUGCCCAAGGAACUGCCCAACGGGGCCCAGAUCCCCUCGUGAUGGCCAGGGUGGAAUGGCAAAGAGCACAGUAAGGGGACAAGGUGGGGGGUGGCUCAGGGGACAGCGGGGUGACACAUCCCAGCAGGAGAGCAGCCGUUCCCAUCGAUCUUAAAAGCAUUUUGCAGCAUCACCCACUCGAGUGAACCGACUUCACCCAGCAGAUCCAGCAGCACCCAGGGGCAGAGACACCACCGAGGCCAUUUUGGGGCCGUGCUGGAGCAGGGGGAUGCUCUCGGGGAGCUGAAGAUUACCUGCAAU